CCUACGGGGGGCAGCAGUGGGGAAUAUUGGACAAUGGGGGCAACCCUGAUCCAGCCAUGCCGCGUGUGUGAAGAAGGCCCUCGGGUUGUAAAGCACUUUCAGUGAGGAAGAACGCCUGGUGGUUAAUACCCAUCAGGAAAGACAUCACUCACAGAAGAAGCACCGGCUAACUCCGUGCCAGCAGCCGCGGUAAUACGGAGGGUGCGAGCGUUAAUCGGAAUUACUGGGCGUAAAGCGCGCGUAGGUGGCUUGAUAAGCUGGUUGUGAAAGCCCCGGGCUCAACCUGGGAACGGCAUCCGGAACUGUCAAGCUAGAGUGCAGGAGAGGAAGGUAGAAUUCCCGGUGUAGCGGUGAAAUGCGUAGAGAUCGGGAGGAAUACCAGUGGCGAAGGCGGCCUUCUGGACUGACACUGACACUGAGGUGCGAAAGCGUGGGUAGCAAACAGGAUUAGAUACCCUGGUAGUC
rnacentral:rRNA from 1 species